GAAAAAUCCGUCAGAAAUGCCAAUGGUGAAUUGCGUUCUUAUUGCUGCCAGGGAACAGCCGGCUCCAUCAACAAUUGGUGCUUCAAGUGUCUAUAUAAUGCUAAGACCUGACAAAAAGUUGUAUGUUGGACAGACUGAUGAUCUUGAGGGCAGAGUACGUGCUCAUCGCUUGAAGGAGGGAAUGGAAAACGCGUCAUUCCUAUAUUUCUUAGUCUCUGGCAAGAGCAUCGCCUGCCAAUUGGAAACUCUUCUAAUAAAUCAACUUCCUAAUCAUGGUUUUCAGCUAACAAACGUUGCUGAUGGUAAGCAUCGAAAUUUUGGCACAACCAAUCUCUCCCUGGAAAGUAUGCCUGUUGAUUAAUACCUCUACAGCUUUGACCUUCCAUUUUGUAAAAGCUACUUUGAUGAGUAGAAAUGGUUUUCCUGUCUUUGUAUGAGGAAAAUGGGAUAGGAAUGUACCAUAUAUGACAGUAGGAUGAUAUGGAAUUAAGUAGC
rnacentral:misc_RNA from 1 species